UACGUAGGCAGCAAGCGUUGUUCGGAGUUACUGGGCGUAAAGAGUGCGUAGGCGGAUAGUUUAGUCAGAGGUGAAAGCCCAGGGCUCAACCUUGGAAUUGCCUUUGAUACUGGCUAUCUUGAGUACGGAAGAGGUAUGUGGAACUCCGAGUGUAGAGGUGAAAUUCGUAGAUAUUCGGAAGAACACCAGUGGCGAAGGCGACAUACUGGUCCGUUACUGACGCUGAGGCUCGAAAGCGUGGGGAGCAAACAGG
rnacentral:rRNA from 1 species